rnacentral:tRNA from 6 species
GACUGCUUAGCUCAACGGUAGAGCACUUCGUUUACAUCGAAGGGGUUGGUGGUUCAAAUCCACCAGCAGUCACUA